rnacentral:rRNA from 1 species
UUGGGACUGAGACACGGCCCAAACUCCUACGGGAGGCAGCAGUGGGGAAUAUUGCACAAUGGGGGAAACCCUGAUGCAGCGACGCCGCGUGAGUGAUGAAGUAUUUCGGUAUGUAAAGCUCUAUCAGCAGGGAAGAUAAUGACGGUACCUGACUAAGAAGCACCGGCUAAAUACGUGCCAGCAGCCGCGGUAAUACGUAUGGUGCAAGCGUUAUCCGGAUUUACUGGGUGUAAAGGGUGCGUAGGUGGCAAGGCAAGUCUGAAGUGAAAAUCCGGGGCUCAACCCCGGAACUGCUUUGGAAACUGUUUAGCUGGAGUACAGGAGAGGUAAGUGGAAUUCCUAGUGUAGCGGUGAAAUGCGUAGAUAUUAGGAGGAACACCAGUGGCGAAGGCGACUUACUGGACUGCUACUGACACUGAGGCACGAAAGCGUGGGG